UUAACUAAGGCGUCGUAUGCUGUUGGGUGUUGUAUCGUUGAAGGCUGGGUCGACCACUGGUGUACCGAUGUCUCCUGGGUAUGGCGGAUGCCAAACCGCAACGCUGCCGCCUUACUACACAACAACAACAUACGCAACAACCGGUUCCUACACCACCAAGGCUCAAGAGUGUUACAAUUCAUGAUGCCCCGAGUUGCUACCCCGAACCCCGAGUUACAUCACCAGAGGCGGAGUACUACACCGAGGCUCCUAAGUACUACAACCGCAAUACUACACGUCUAUGUAUGCUGCCCCUGCCUACUACACCGAGGCCCCGCAUUACUACGACACCGAAGCGCUCAAGUACUACACUACAACCUACGCUGCCCCGAGCUACUACACCUACGUACCAAAGAAUUACUGUGCGUAAAAGGAGUCGUUGAAAAAAGAAGUCGUGCCCAAACUGCAGUGCCUUAUCUGUCGCCAACAGGAUUCCUCAUCGUGUAACCGAUUCUCAAUUAUGGUCAACUAUGGCGUCGUGCUCCUGUUGGUUGUUGUAUCGUUGAUGGCUGGAUCGACCACUGAUGUACCAAUGUCUCCGCAAACAAAACCGCAACGCCGCACCUACCUCCACCUCCUAACUUACGCAACGAGGUUCCUGCACCACGGUCUUCCAGUACUACACCACUAAAGCACCGGAGUUUUAUACCACAACUUACGCUGCCCCGAGUCACUACACUGACGCCCUGAAGUAUUACUCUGCCCCGAGUUACUACACCAUCAAGGCGACGGAGUACUACAUGACAACGCAUGCUGUCCCAUCCGACUACACCGAGGCUCCCAACUGCUACCCGAGGUUCCCGCUAAUUACUUCGCCAAAACGGUCGAGUACUACACCGAAGCGGCAAGUCCUUCUGUGCCCCGAUCUACACAACAACAACUGAGGCGACCAAGAAUUACGCAGUCCCGACUUGACACACAAAAGCUGCUCUUUCGUGUUAAAUUGAACUGAAACACUACACUGAUGCUCCAGUCUACUACACCACGACCUACGCUACACCUAGCUACAACACCGCAGCUCCCAAGUACUACACCGAAGAAGCUGCCUAUUGCACAACUACGUACGCUGCCUAGUUUACUACACCGAGGAAUUCAAUUAUAACCCUGUCUGGGCUUUCUUCGUUGCCUUCCAAAUUUUAUUCUUCACAUGGAGAACUUAAGAAUAAUUUAAUUGUAGAAAUUUCGAUUUAGUGUACAAUGGACAUGCGGUUUUGGUGCCGGUCGAUAUGUCAAUCCCUAUUCCAUUAAUCACUGUUAUUGAAAGGUUUGGAUGUCAAGUGUCAACUCAGUGGAUGAAUUCUAUACAAAGACAAUUAUCACUCCUGAAAUUGUAGCAGUGGAAGGAGUGGUGUUGGUACUAGAACAUUUUUAUGGCAAAAAGAGGGUUUUGCAGAAUGUUUUAUCAAAACCUUUGUUUUUGUUUGACUGUGUAGUUUGACUGUUAUUUUUUUCUUGGAUUAAGUCCGUCUCCUUGCCUGUGCAUGUGGUAAAGAAUCCAUUCAAUAAUUCAACUAAAUAUCGAAAUUUUUCGAUAUUUUCCUGCUGGUCAUGAGGAUUGGAUUUGUGCCUUAGCCUAUAUUGUGAAGUUAUGAUUUGUCCCCCAUCUUUUGGAUGUUUCGGGAUCCUUCUGGAGCAGAAUAGAAAGUUGUCCGAGUUUUCGAAGUUCCUCACUAUUUUCUAUGGAAUUUGGUUUAAAUUUGUCGUAUUGAUCAACCAAUGACAUAACGUAAUAUUGUGUUUUUUUUAAUCAACCUUCCCGCUUGUAUUCAUAAUUUUCGCAUUUUUUCGACGGUACUCGAUGGUAAUGGCAUGCAUCAGUCUGCUGCGAGUAGUCUAUGGAUCUGGUGUUAUGCUGAAAUGUAGAAUCAUGACUUGAAGUGGAAUAACUGCAAGAAGACUUCUUGAAAUGGUAAUUGGAUAAUCCAAUUUGGAUUGAAAUUAUGUUGAAUAAUAUCCUCAAAAGAAAGGUAUAGAUGGUUGGUAUAGUAGUUGAAGUCUAGGAAAAAUUACAAUCUACUUGAUUUUAUUUAUAUUGAUUUUAGUAAUUGCUAAUUGGAAAACUUUGGUUUACUAUAGACUUAAAUUGCUUGUAUCAAAAUAAUUUUUAAGAGCUGUUGCUUAAUUCAAUUAACUCCUGUCAUUUAAAUAUAUGUUCCUUAAUAGAAAUUUAAGUAUGUUUAAAAGUGUAAUAGCCAGGUAAAAUCUCUUAUUCAUUGCUUUAAUACAAUUCAAAAGUA